rnacentral:rRNA from 1 species
UGGGGAAUAUUGCGCAAUGGGCGAAAGCCUGACGCAGCAACGCCGCGUGAGUGAAGAAGGCCUUCGGGUUGUAAAGCUCUGUCAGAAGGGAAGAAUCGUGCUGGCAACACCAGCCUUUGACGGUACCUUCGAAGGAAGCACUGGCUAACUCCGUG